rnacentral:rRNA from 1 species
GCAUCGAUGAAGAACGCAGCGAAAUGCGAUACGCAAUGCGAAUUGCAGAACCGCGAGUCAUCAGAUCUUUGAACGCAAGUGGCGAAGGUGUUAAAAAGCCUUCAUGUUUGUUUCAGUGUGGAAAGGAAUCAUGCAUCUUAAUGCGAUUGAAGUGACUGCAAAGAAUCUUCUCUCGUUAAACAUGAUGGGUGGUCGAGCAAUCGCCGCCAGAACGAAGUAGUCACAUUCUUGUAAUGUGAACAUUCGUUCAGGCAUCAAGGUGAAUGUUCAUUAUACUGCUCAUAGAAAUUUUCUAUCUUCUCACUACACCUGAAAUAAGCAAGAUUACCCGCUGAACUUAAGCAUAUCAAUAAGCGGAGGA